rnacentral:rRNA from 1 species
GACGAACGCUGGCGGCGUGCUUAACACAUGCAAGUCGAACGGAAAGGCCCUGCUUGCAGGGUACUCGAGUGGCGAACGGGUGAGUAACACGUGGGUGAUCUGCCCUGCACUUCGGGAUAAGCUUGGGAAACUGGGUCUAAUACCGGAUAGGAGCCAUCUUUAGUGUGGUGGUUGGAAAGUUUUUUCGGUGUAGGAUGAGCUCGCGGCCUAUCAGCUUGUUGGUGGGGUAAUGGCCUACCAAGGCGGCGACGGGUAGCCGGCCUGAGAGGGUGUACGGCCACAUUGGGACUGAGAGACGGCCCAGACUCCUACGGGAGGCAGCAGUGGGGAAUAUUGCACAAUGGGCGCAAGCCUGAUGCAGCGACGCCGCGUGGGGGAUGAAGGCGUUCGGGUUGUAAACUCCUUUCGCUAGGGACGAAGCUUUUUUGUGACGGUACCUAGAUAAGAAGCACCGGCUAACUACGUG